rnacentral:rRNA from 1 species
UACGUAGGGUGCAAGCGUUAAUCGGAAUUAUCUGGGCGUAAAGCGUGCGUAGGCGGUUGUUAGGUCUGUCGUGAAGCCCGGCUCAACUGGGAAUGGCGAUGGAACUGGCGAGCUAGAGUACGGUAGAGGAGAGUGGAAUCCGGUGUAGCAGUGAAUGCGUAGAGAUCGGGAGGAACAUCAGUUGCGAAGGCGGCUCUCUGGACCAGUACUGACGCUGAGGCACGAAAGCGUGGGAGCAAACAGG